rnacentral:rRNA from 1 species
UACGAAGGGGGCUAGCGUUGCUCGGAAUCACUGGGCGUAAAGGGUGCGUAGGCGGGUCUUUAAGUCAGGGGUGAAAUCCUGGAGCUCAACUCCAGAACUGCCUUUGAUACUGAGGAUCUUGAGUUCGGGAGAGGUGAGUGGAACUGCGAGUGUAGAGGUGAAAUUCGUAGAUAUUCGCAAGAGCACCAGUGGCGAAGGCGGCUCACUGGCCCGAUACUGACGCUGAGGCACGAAAGCGUGGGGAGCAAACAGG